rnacentral:rRNA from 1 species
CCUACGGGGGGCAGCAGUGAGGAAUAUUGGUCAAUGGACGAGAGUCUGAACCAGCCAAGUAGCGUGAAGGAUGACUGCCCUAUGGGUUGUAAACUUCUUUUAUAUGGGAAUAAAAUGUUCCACGUGUGGGAUUUUGUAUGUACCAUAUGAAUAAGGAUCGGCUAACUCCGUGCCAGCAGCCGCGGUAAUACGGAGGAUCCGAGCGUUAUCCGGAUUUAUUGGGUUUAAAGGGAGCGUAGGUGGAUUGUUAAGUCAGUUGUGAAAGUUUGCGGCUCAACCGUAAAAUUGCAGUUGAAACUGGCAGUCUUGAGUACAGUAGAGGUGGGCGGAAGUCGAGGUGUAGCGGUGAAAUGCUUAGAUAUCACGAAGAACUCCGAUUGCGAAGGCAGUUCACUGGACUGCAACUGACACUGAGGCUCGAAAGUGUGGGUAUCAAACAGGAUUAGAUACCCCGGUAGUC